rnacentral:rRNA from 1 species
UGAGGAAUAUUGGUCAAUGGGCGGAAGCCUGAACCAGCCAUGUAGCGUGAAGGACGACUGCCCUAUGGGUUGUAAACUUCUUUUAUCGGGGAAUAAGAGUUACCAUGUAUGGUAAUGAGCAGGUACCCGUUGAAUCAGCAUCGGCUAACUCCGUGCCAGCAGCCGCGGUAAUACGGAGGAUGCAAGCGUUAUCCGGAUUUAUUGGGUUUAAAGGGUGCGCAGGCGGUAUUUCCCGUCAGCCGUGAAAUCGUAAGGCUUAACCUUGCGUUUGCGUUUGAAACAGCAAUACUUGAGUAUGUGCAAGGUGUGCGGAAUUCGUGGUGUAGCGGUGAAAUGCUUAGAUAUCACGAAGAACUCCAAUUGCGUAGGCAGCUCACCGGAACAUAACUGACGCUCAUGCACGAAAGUGCGGGAAUCAAACAGGAUUAGAUACCCUGGUAGUCCGCACCGUAAACGAUGAAUACUUGCCUUGUGCGAUACACGGUAUGAGGUUAAGCGAAAGCAUUAAGUAUUCCRCCUGGGGAGUACRCCGGCAACGGUGAAACUCAAAGGAAUUGACGGGGGCCCGCACAAGCGGAGGAACAUGUGGUUUAAUUCGAUGAUACGCGCGGAACCUUACCCGGGCUUGAAUUGUGUCUGCAUAUACUUGAAAGGGUAUAGUCGCAAGACAGGCAUGAAGGUGCUGCAUGGUUGUCGUCAGCUCGUGCCGUGAGGUGUCGGCUUAAGUGCCAUAACGAGCGCAACCCUGRUUGUCAGUUACCAUCUGGUAAAGCAGGGGACUCUGACAAGACUGCCGUCGUAAGAUGUGAGGAAGGUUGGGAUGACGUCAAAUCAGCACGGCCCUAACGUCCGGGGCYACACACGUGUUACAAUGGGUGUUACAGCGGGUUGCUACGCGGCGACGCGAUGCCAAUCUCCAAAGACACUCUCAGUUCGGAUCGAAGUCUGCAACUCGACUUCGUGAAGCUGGAUUCGCUAGUAAUCGCGCAUCAGCCACGGUGCGGUGAAUACGUUCCCGGGCCUUGUACACACCGCCCGUCAAGCCAUGGGAGUCGGGGGUGCCUGAGGUGCGUUUCCGUGAGGGAACGUUCCAGGGUAAAUACCGGUGACCGGGGCU